GAUGAACGCUGGCGGCGUGCCUAAUACAUGCAAGUCGAGCGAACAGAUGAGGAUCUUGCUCCUCUGACGUUAGCGGCGGACGGGUGAGUAACACGUGUAUAACCUACCUAUAAGACUGGGAUAACCUCGGGAAACCGGAGCUAAUACCGGAUAAUAUAUUGAACCGCAUGGUUCAAUAGUGAAAUACGGUUUUGCUGUCACUUAUAGAUGGGUCCGCGCCGCAUUAGCUAGUUGGUACGGUAACGGGUUACCAAGGCAACGAUGCGUAGCCGACGGCAUGGGGUGGUCGGCCGCCCUGGAACUGGACCGCGGACCAGGGGCCUACGGGAGGCAGCAGUAGGGAAUGUGCGGCAGUAGGCGGGAGCCUGACGGAACGGGGCGGCGUGAGUGAUAGAGACCUUGGGAUCGUGAAACUCUGUUAUUAGGGAAAAACCGAUGUGUAAGUAAAUAUAGCCGUAUUGACGGUACCUGGUCAGAAAGCAACGGCUAACUACGUG
rnacentral:rRNA from 1 species